rnacentral:lncRNA from 1 species
GAUUGGUAGCAGGUUCAUCUUUGGUCCGCGGUGGGGAAUCUAAUGGAGAUGAGGAAUGCUCUCUGGGAGACCAGAAUGUGGCUAUCAUGGAGCCCUUCGAUUUUAACAGAGAUCCUUU